AGCCAGACUCCUACGGGAGGCAGCAGUGGGGAAUAUUGCACAAUGGGGGAAACCCUGAUGCAGCGACGCCGCGUGAGUGAAGAAGUAUUUCGGUAUGUAAAGCUCUAUCAGCAGGGAAGAAAAUGACGGUACCUGACCAAGAAGCCCCGGCUAACUACGUGCCAGCAGCCGCGGUAAUACGUAGGGGGCAAGCGUUAUCCGGAUUUACUGGGUGUAAAGGGAGCGUAGACGGUUGUGCAAGUCAGAAGUGAAAGCCCGGGGCUCAACUCCGGGACUGCUUUUGAAACUGUGAAACUGGAGUGCAGGAGAGGUAAGCGGAAUUCCUGGUGUAGCGGUGAAAUGCGUAGAUAUCAGGAGGAACACCAGUGGCGAAGGCGGCUUACUGGACGGUAACUGACGUUGAGGCUCGAAAGCGUGGGGAGCAAACAGGAUUAGAUACCCGAGUACG
rnacentral:rRNA from 1 species